rnacentral:rRNA from 1 species
UACGUAGGGUGCGAGCGUUAAUCGGAAUUACUGGGCGUAAAGUGUGCGCAGGCGGCCGCGCAAGUCGAGUGUGAAAGCCCCGGGCUUAACUUGGGAAUUGCGCUCGAAACUACGUGGCUCGAGUGUGGCAGAGGAAGGUGGAAUUCCACGUGUAGCGGUGAAAUGCGUAGAGAUGUGGAGGAACACCGAUGGCGAAGGCAGCCUUCUGGGCCAACACUGACGCUCAUGCACGAAAGCGUGGGGAGCAAACAGG